rnacentral:rRNA from 1 species
CCCUUAGGUGUUCUGGGCCGCACGCGCGCUACACUGAUGCAUUCAACGAGUCUAUCCUUGACCGACAGGUCCGGGUAAUCUUUGAAUCUGCAUCGUGACGGGGAUAGAUUAUUGCAAUUAUUAAUCUUCAACGAGGAAUGCCUAGUAGGCGCAAGUCAUCAGCUUGCGUCGAUUACGUCCCUGCCCUUUGUACACACCGCCCGUCGCUCCUACCGAUUGGGUGUGCUGGUGAAAUGUUCGGAUCGGCCGUUUGUCGCGGUUUCCGCGUCAUGUGGCUGAGAAGUUCAUUAAACCCUCCCACCUAGAGGAAGGAGAAGUCGUAACA